UACAGAGGGUGCAAGCGUUGUUCGGAAUUACUGGGCGUAAAGGGCUCGUAGGCGGCCAACUAAGUCAGACGUGAAAUCCCUCGGCUUAACCGGGGAACUGCGUCUGAUACUGGAUGGCUUGAGUUUGGGAGAGGGAUGCGGAAUUCCAGGUGUAGCGGUGAAAUGCGUAGAUAUCUGGAGGAAAACCGGUGGCGAAGGGGGCAUCCUGGGCCAACACUGACGCUGAGUGAGCGAAAGCCAGGGGAGCAAACGGG
rnacentral:rRNA from 1 species